rnacentral:misc_RNA from 1 species
GUAGGUGAACCUGCGGAAGGAUCAUUACCGAGAUCAGGAGGUGUCUUCUUUGAAGCUCCUUCUCCUCCCAUCCUUGUUUAUCUAUAAGCUGUAAAGCAGCUUCGGUGGGCCAUCUCUGUAACUAGAGAUGUCGGCUACCCUGCUGGCUUGUGCCUGCCGAAGUAACCAAUUCUGACAAUUUGUAAAGUCUGAGAAAAAUGAUUAAAUAAUCAAAACUUUCAACAACGGAUCUCUUGGUUCUGGCAUCGAU